rnacentral:misc_RNA from 1 species
GUGAGUCAUGGAAUCUUUGAACGCACCUUGCGCUCCUUGGUAUUCCGAGGAGCAUGCCUGUUUGAGUGUCAUUAAAUUCUCAACCUCACCAACUUUGUUGUGUGAAGGCUUGGAUGUGGGGGUUUGCAGGUCCGCACUCGUGUGGUCUGCUCCUCUAAAACGUAUUAGUGGGUUAGUCCCCUAAUCUAUUGGUGUGAUAAUUAUCUACGCCGUGGAUUUGGAAGGCUAUCAUAGACCUGCUUCUAACCGUCCUCUGGACAACUUUGACAAUUUUGACCUCAAAUCAGGUAAGACUACCCG